UACAGGAGGUCUCAAGCGUUUGUUCGGAUUCAUUGGGCGUAAAGGGUGCGUAGGUGGCGGGGUUAGUCAGGUGUGAAAUCUCGGAGCUCAACUCCGAAACUGCACUUGAUACUGCCUUGCUAGAGUACUGGAGAGGAGAUUGGAAUUUACGGUGUAGCAGUGAAAUGCGUAGAUAUCGUAAGGAAGACCAGUGGCGAAGGCGAAUCUCUGGACAGUUACUGACACUGAGGCACGAAGGCCAGGGGAGCAAACGGG
rnacentral:rRNA from 1 species